rnacentral:misc_RNA from 1 species
GAUGAAGAACGUAGUGAAAUGCGAUAAGUAAUGCGAAUUGCAGAAUUCCGUGAGUCAUCGAAUCUUUGAACGCACAUUGCGCCCCUUGGUAUUCCGAGGGGCAUGCCUGUUCGAGCGUCAUUAUAACCCCUCAAGCUCAGCUUGGUGUUGGGGCCUGCUGCACUGGCAGCCCUUAAAAUCAGUGGCGGCGCCAUCUGGCUCUAAGCGUAGUAAUUCUUCUCGCUAUGGAGUCCUGGUGGAUGCUUGCCAUCAACCCCCAAUUUUUCUAUGGUUGACCUCGGAUCAGGUAGGGAUACCCGCUGAACUUAAGCAUAUCAAUAAGCGGAGGA